GACGAACGCUGGCGGCGUGCUUAACACAUGCAAGUCGAACGGAAAGGCCCUGCUUUUGUGGGGUGCUCGAGUGGCGAACGGGUGAGUAACACGUGAGUAACCUGCCCUUGACUUUGGGAUAACUUCAGGAAACUGGGGCUAAUACCGGAUAGGAGCUCCUGCUGCAUGGUGGGGGUUGGAAAGUUUCGGCGGUUGGGGAUGGACUCGCGGCUUAUCAGCUUGUUGGUGGGGUAGUGGCUUACCAAGGCUUUGACGGGUAGCCGGCCUGAGAGGGUGACCGGCCACAUUGGGACUGAGAUACGGCCCAGAGUCCUACGGGAGGCAGUAGUGGGGAAUAUUGCACAAUGGGCGGAAGCCUGAUGCAGCAGCGCCGCGUGCGGGAUAACGGCCUUCGGGUUGUAAACCGCUUUCGCCUGUGACGAAGCGGGAGUGACGGUAAUGGGUAAAGAAGCACCGGCUAACUACGUG
rnacentral:rRNA from 1 species